rnacentral:lncRNA from 1 species
GUCCUUUGGCUCUGUCAGAGUUGGGAAUGUUCUCUGGUUCUGCCUGAAACGUGUGGUGGGAGGGAAAAACAGGUAAUAAAGUUGACCUUAAUAGAAGAAGACUGAGCUCCCCCAGGGAAAGGGGAAUCCUGCUAGAAGACCACAUCUGGCCUUGAACUGCACCUCUUUCCUGGGUCCCAGCCUGGCAGCCCACCUUGCAGAUUCUGGACUUGCCAAGACACCACAGUUGCAUGAGCUGAUUUCUUAAAGUAAAAUCUCUCUCUUUCUCUCUGUACACACACACACACACACACACACACACACACACACACACACACACACAUACACUCUGUUGAUUCUCUGGAGAACUCUGACUAAUAGAGAAUGUUAGCGGGGGAAGGGCUCCGACAUGUGUUGCUUCUUUUCUUCUAAAGUAACUUAAAAUAAAUACACUUCCCCACAGUGAGGCUUCAUUUCCUUCAGUUUUUUUUUUUUUUUUUUGUCUUUUUAGGGCUGCACCCAUAGGAUAUGGAAGUUGCCAGGCUAGGGGUCCAACCGGAGCUGUAGCCGUGGACUAUGCCAUAGCCACAGCAAUGAGGGAUCCAAGCCACAUCUGUGACCUACACCACAGCUCAUGGCAAUGCCAGAUCCUUACCCUACUGAGUGAGGCCAGGGAUUGAACCUGAGCCCUUAUGAAUGCUAGUCAGGUUUAUUAACCGCUGAGCCACACUGGGAAUUCCCUUCUGCAGUUUUAUGUGAAAAAACGACUAUUCCCCACAUAAACAAAAUGCUGACUUUAUUCUUUGUCAAUUAUAACUCUAUUCUUAGGAUGCUAUCCCUUCUUGUUCUGAGUUGCACUAUGGAGAUUUCUGGAAAUAACUGACAAUGAAGGGUCUCGGAUCCACAUAAGGGUUCCAUUUCCCAUGGAUUUUCUUCCUGCACUGGAUCAGGAAACAUAUUGUCUCACGCUGGUGGACAACAGUCCAGAGGAGGUGAGUAUCAGAGAGGAAGGAAGUCAUCCUGGUGGUUCUGGCACUGUGUCUCUGUAACUCUGGCUAGAUCUUCCUCUAUGUGUGCUUCAUCCUCAGAUAAGCUUCCCUCAUGGUGCCAGUGUGGUCACAGCUUCCCCAGGCUUUGCUUCUGUACUCCAGAAGAGGAGAAGGAAUUAGUUUCUCUCUUUAGAGUGGGGAAGGCUGAAGACAUGAAAACAACCUAAAUAUCCAUCAGCAGAUGAAUUGGUAAAGGAGAUGUGGUAUAUACAUACAAUGGAAUACUACUCGUCCUUAACACAGAAUUUGCAGUAACAUGGAUGGAUUAUCAUACUAAGUGAAGUAAGUCAGGAGAAAGAUAAAUACCAUAUGUUAUCACUUAUAUGUGGAAUCUAAAAUAUGACACAAAUGAAUGUAUCUGUGAAACAGAUACAAGCUCAAAGACAUAGAAAACAGACUUGUGUUUGCCAAGGGCAGGGGGUAGGUGGGAUGGACUGGAAGUUGGGGGGAGUAGAUGCAGACUAUUAUAUAUGGAAGGGAUAAACAACAAGGCCCUACUGCAGAGCACAAGCAACUAUAUUCAAUAUCCUUAGAUAAAUCAUAAUGGAAAAGAAUAUUUAAAAAAGAGUGUGUAUGUGUAUAUAUAACUGAAUCACUUUGCUGUACAGCAUAAAUUAAUAUAACUCUGUGAGUCAACUAUAUUUCAAUAAAAAAAAUAAAGAGCAGGGAAGGCUGUGAUGU